AACGCAAAUUGCGCUCUUGGGUAGCCCUAGGAGCACGCCUCUCUCAGUAUCGGUUCAACAACCUCUCAGCAGCGUAGAUUUAUUUUUACGUGUUGGCUGGAUAAUGAGAGUCUGAAUGUUACUAUUCAGUCUCUUGAAAUACAUCGAGUAAGUAUCAUCACAUGCCUACGCAUUAUAGAUUUAUCUAUAGCCAAGUCUCUGACUGGUCUGCACGGUAGUAAGUGACGUGAAUACUGAGCCUUGUGCUCUCACAUUUACGUGUAACUUCUGUCGGGUGACUAUAAUAAAGGUCUAGGAUGAGGUGUCGUUUGGGAGCAGGUGUACUUAUGUUAAGCGGCUGCAAGGCUGCAAUCGGCUAAACAAUUUAUUGUGAAGUCUGAAUUUUGAUCUGAGAUGAAGCGAGACAACCCCCUGAAUUUAA
rnacentral:misc_RNA from 1 species